CGGCGUGCCUAAUACAUGCAAGUCGAGCGAACAGAUAAGGAGCUUGCUCCUUUGACGUUAGCGGCGGACGGGUGAGUAACACGUGGAUAACCUACCUAUAAGACUGGGAUAACUUCGGGAAACCGGAGCUAAUACCGGAUAACAUAUUGAACCGCAUGGUUCAAUAGUGAAAGGCGGCUUUGCUGUCACUUAUAGAUGGAUCCGCGCCGUAUUAGCUAGUUGGUAAGGUAACGGCUUACCAAGGCAACGAUACGUAGCCGACCUGAGAGGGUGAUCGGCCACACUGGAACUGAGACACGGUCCAGACUCCUACGGGAGGCAGCAGUAGGGAAUCUUCCGCAAUGGGCGAAAGCCUGACGGAGCAACGCCGCGUGAGUGAUGAAGGUCUUCGGAUCGUAAAACUCUGUUAUCAGGGAAGAACAAAUGUGUAAGUAACUGUGCACAUCUUGACGGUACCUGAU
rnacentral:rRNA from 1 species